GUGCUUGCUUCGGCAGCACAUAUACUAAAAUUGGAACGCUACAGAGAAGAUUAGCAUGGCCCCUGCAUGAGGAUAACAUGCAAACUUGUGAAGCAUUCCAUUUUUAA
ensembl:snRNA U6 U6 spliceosomal RNA